rnacentral:rRNA from 1 species
CAGCAGCCACGGUAAUACGAGGGGGGCAAGCGUUAUUCGGGAUUAUUGGGCGUAAAGAGCUCGUAGGCGGUUUGUCGCGUCUGCUGUGAAAACUGGAGGCUCAACCUCCAGCCUGCAGUGGGUACGGGCAGACUAGAGUGCGGUAGGGGAGAUUGGAAUUCCUGGUGUAGCGGUGGAAUGCGCAGAUAUCAGGAGGAACACCGAUGGCGAAGGCAGAUCUCUGGGCCGUAACUGACGCUGAGGAGCGAAAGCAUGGGGAGCGAACAGGAUUAGAUACCCGAGUAGUCCCUGUCUCUUAUAC